UGCUUGGGAGUCUCUCUCUCUCCUUCUGCCCCUUCCCCACUCACGCUCACUCUUUGCUCUCUCUCUCUCUCUCUCUCUCCAAAAUAAAAAAAAAGGGUUUUUUGGUUUGUUUUUUUUUUGAAGAAACAUCAACUAACAACCAGCAUCCGUAGCUGUCCUGUCGUUGCUACUGUUUUUGGCUCCACUACUGUGUAUGACCACGGUCUCUCAAUGUUUUAUAAAAUUUAUGUCAGGGAUGUAUAUAUUGUAAAUAAAUACGUAAGCGGUCGGUGGUCUGCAGGGACACUUGUCUCCUUAAGAUCUCUGACCCACUCAGUACCUGGUGUUGGCUGUCGCUCGGGCAGGGAAAUGGCAGAGAACUCCUAGAAACCGCAGGGUCCUGUGCAAGUACAGGAGAGCAGCCUCUUCUGAAUACGGCGGAGGACGGCCCCAGCUGCCUGUGUCCCUGUCCUCGGCCCCUCGCUCGGAGCCCGCACUGCCCCUGGAACCCCGGUCACAUGAGAGUCUUCAGCCCGAAAGAGGAAAUAACACUUCUUUACACCAAGGCAAAGUGUGUGAAAGGCACCCCAUGGGACAGCUCUGUCCAGGCCCCCCCACAACUGUCAGCAAGAAGGAGGCACCUCCGGGCGGCAAACCUUCUUCUCCAGACCUGCAGCCCUGUAUCCCCACACUGAGCGGCUCGCUUUGCUUCCUCUGUCACCGAAAUGAGAAGUGUCCAGAAGCAGCUCCCACCACGCGUCCACACACCCGGCCGCGCUGGCGGCCAUGUCCCCUGCCUCCCCUCCUGGGACUGUGUGUGAACGCCCCUCGGCUCUCCCCCUCGUCUCAGUCUGCCGGGGCUGCCAUAACAACCAAAUACCCAAGACUGGGUGGCUUCAACACCAGAAAUUUAUUUUCUCACUGUUCCGGAGGCUGGAAAGUCCAAGAUCAAGGUGCGGGCCGGUUUGGCAGCUGGUGAGGGCUCUCUUCCUGGCUUGCCAGUGGCUGCCUCCUCGCCGUGUCCUCUCGUGGCUGGGAGAAGAACCCUGGGGUUUCUACUCCUCAAUCCGAGCAGGAGCUCACCCUCGUGACCUCAUUUGACUUCUGUCAGCUCCUCGCAGGUCCUGUCUCCAGAUAGAGUCAGCUGGGGUUAGGGUCUCAACAUACGGGUUUGAGGACAAAACAUUCCAUCGGUAAUACCGCUUUAGGCCGGGACCCCACCUGGGCUACUUAAGGACGUCGCCCGCCUCGUCCACCUGUCUCCCCCGUCAUCGGCGUUUACCUUUCUGCUACAUCCCACAAACACACUGUCGUUUCUCGCAUCUUCCAAAACCCGAGAGCCUCUUUAUUCAGUUCCCUGGCUAGCUCUUGUCUCGUUUUCCCCACUCUCUUCCACCGAGGGGUUUCUCCAAAGAAAUGUCCUGUGCUUCCUUUUCUGGACUUCUCUCUUCCUACUCUUUGUUGUACGCGCUUCAGUCAGUCUGUCACCGCCACUGCCUGUCAAGGUUACCAGCAACCCCUUCACCGUAGCGUCUAGUGGGCAUUUUUCCAGCCUCGUCUUGCCCUGCUUGUAAGCAGCAUGUGACGCAGUGGUGCACCUCCCACACGCCUAGUGCCUCGUAGGUGCUGGGCUCCACGGGGGGUGCGAGAUGAAGAGAGUUCACACGGUGACAGACCUAUGAGCCCUUAUGGUGAGUAUGCUAAGUCCUCGAAUGGAAGUAUAUACAAAGAACUAAAGAAUUACAACCCAA